AGAAGGGAUGAAUCCUUCACUCUCUGCCCCCUGUGACAUCUCGCCUCUCUUCGUUAGUCUUCUCCGGAGGUUUUUUUUUCGUCUUCUUCGAAGUUUCGUGUGAUGUACACAAGAUCGGCGAGAGGAGUUGCAUAAAAAUUCAAUGGUAAAUGGGUAGAAGGAAACAAGAGAAGAUCGGUGGGAUGAAGGGGGAGGCGAGAGGAGGGAUAAUGAAGGCCUGACAGGGCGAGGACCGUAUCCAGGCGCGGCACCCUUAUACCUUUGAAUCCCGCUGUUCUCCGCCUGCAUGACUGCAUAGCGCUUGGUAAUACCCGGCCUGAACUGAAUUGGAUCUAUCGCGCGGGUCAGAAGGGUAAACUGAGGGGGAAGUACUAGGAGAGACUUGUCAACAGAAGGCAAAAGGGUUCCCUCGUGGAACUCAAGCUGCAAUGAGGGCAAGUGCACUGGCACUUCACUUUUACACGUAAUGUGCAGGGCAAUUCCGGCAUUAACUACUGGGAAAGAGAUUUUAAUUAACUCCGGGUCAUUGGGAGUUGAAAGGAAACUGAUUCAUUAUUCGAAAUUCAAGAGGAUAACAAUAGGAUAGAAGCUCGUCUUGUUCAGUGAAAAAAUCGGCCUCUACCUGUUUUCUACCCGAACGAAUCAAAACACAAGGAAGUAAAACUGAGAAGAGCCAUUGGUCAAAAGUACAGCCUUUUAACCUUAAAACACCAGUGUAAACUCUGAGUUUGUAUUUACAGUGUCAGUAAAGACAGUUGCACAACCACUGUUGUUACCUUUUUGGCAAGUACAACAGUUAGUUAUACUCAUAGUGACUUAUUAUUUUGUUACAAUGUGUUUAUUUAUUUCAUUAUUCAUUGUCACUAGAGACUUUUACCCCCGAAAGUUCAAUAAACUGCUUUUUUUA